rnacentral:rRNA from 1 species
CGUAGGGGGCAAGCGUUGUCCGGAUUUACUGGGCGUAAAGAGCGCGUAGGCGGAGAUCUAAGCGUGGCCUGAAAGCCCCCGGCUCAACCGGGGAGUGCGGCUGCGAACUGGGCUUCUUGAGGACGAUAGAGGAGAGUGGAAUUCCUGGUGUAGCGGUGAAAUGCGUAGAUAUCAGGAGGAACACCCGAGGCGAAGGCGGCUCUCUGGGUCGUACCUGACGCUGAGGCGCGAAAGCGUGGGGAGCGAACGGGAUUAGAUACCCCGGUAGUCCACGCCGUAAACGAUGGUCACUAGGUGUGUGUGGUAUCGACCCCGCACGUGCCGCAGCUAACGCAAUAAGUGACCCGCCUGGGAGUGCGGCCGCAAGUUG